CCGCCAUUACGAGGCAUCAACGCGUUAACACUAUAGAACAAAACACGCCCUUUUCCUCCUUCUCUGGGGCAUUGUUGUGACUCCCUCUCACUGUGCAGGAAGGUGGACAGGUGUGUGUGUGUGUGGAAUUCACCUGUAGAAGUCCUGCUGUGUUGCCUCUUGGGUGACUGCUGAGGGAACAUGGUGAAGCAACAGCAAACUGGGGGCGGGGAUAGGGGAGAGUUACAAGACAGCGCUGCCUCCUCCGCUAGGAAUCUGCCACAAGCUGGAAUCGAACUAGGAACUAUACAUAGACUCUAGCAAGGAUUUCACCACAGAGCCGAGGGAAUCCAGUGAUGAAGAGAAGGCAG